rnacentral:rRNA from 1 species
CCUACGGGUGGCAGCAGUGGGGAAUUUUGGACAAUGGGCGAAAGCCUGAUCCAGCAAUGCCGCGUGUGUGAAGAAGGCCUUCGGGUUGUAAAGCACUUUUGUCCGGAAAGAAAUGGCUCUGGUUAAUACCUGGGGUCGAUGACGGUACCGGAAGAAUAAGGACCGGCUAACUACGUGCCAGCAGCCGCGGUAAUACGUAGGGUCCAAGCGUUAAUCGGAAUUACUGGGCGUAAAGCGUGCGCAGGCGGUUGUGCAAGACCGAUGUGAAAUCCCCGAGCUUAACUUGGGAAUUGCAUUGGUGACUGCACGGCUAGAGUGUGUCAGAGGGGGGUAGAAUUCCACGUGUAGCAGUGAAAUGCGUAGAGAUGUGGAGGAAUACCGAUGGCGAAGGCAGCCCCCUGGGAUAACACUGACGCUCAUGCACGAAAGCGUGGGGAGCAAACAGGAUUAGAUACCCUAGUAGUC